GUGCCCAUAGUAUAGUGGUUAGUAUUUCUCGUUGUGGCCGAGACGACCCGUGUUCGACUCACGGUGGGCACA